CCAGAGGCUGGGAGGAAAGGGGAUAAACAGACAGGGGUAGAACAGAGGAAAGACCCUGGGAGCUUCAGCAAAGGCACCUGGUAGCUGUCCUGGCUGGUGGACUGAGGGUGUUGCCUGGGGAGCCUCAGGACGAUCUUGGCAGACAUCCAGGCUGGCAGAAUCACAGAGUGUGACUUUAUUAUUGGCAGUAGGUUUAAAGGAUAGGACGCCAGUUUCUGGGGAACUAAGCAUAGAAGGUCAGGCAAGCCUGAUUCCAGCUUCCAGAGGAACUGAAGGAGUUGAAGGAAAGAAUUCAAGAGCUCUGCAGACAACAUGGACGCUGGUAGACCAGGCUGAGCACAGGUAAUGGGACCUGUCACACUUCCAGCCACUCUGAUGGAGGCCAAGGUGAUGUGAUUUCCCAUCACUUGAGGCUGGGGUCACUUCAGGAUUCACCGCAGUUCCAGAAUGCUCCAACCUGAAGAAAGUUGCACUUCCUCAGAGCCAGGAAUCCAAAGGCAUCUCAUUACCAGGCACACGGCUGAUGUGUGUGGGUUUGUGGGACUGUGUGACUGGGGAGCCUACAUUUCCAAGGAUGACUUCAGUUAGUGAGUACUGUGCAGCUUAAUUAUUAGCAUAUCAUCCCUUGGCCUCCCAAUCACACCUUCUGUAUCCAUGUCUUGCCUCUUCUUUUCUGUAAUCCAUGAGGUUUUAUACAUCUUUGGGAAAGCCAAACAACGGCCCUUCUCUGAUACGGCAAAAGGAAAGGGCAGGCAGUUUGAAUUCUUUGGCAUUUCCUGAAAGUGGUCCAUAGAUCUGAUCUAGUGACUUAGUUCUGCAUGUAUAAUUAAUUGGCAGCAUGUUCACAGCUCCUACUAAGCUGCCUGAUUUACAUAGUGAAGCUAGCAGAUGCAGAUGCGGGGCUGGUCUCUCAGCCAAUGAGAAUUCUCGAGGACAGACAACGCAAGGUCACAAAUGAAGAUUGGAAUGAAGAUUGUGUCUUGACAGGCUUUGAAGGGAAGUGAAAAUAACCAGGCUUUGAUUUGCACCUAUGGUCACUGCAGGCUCCAAAAGAUGUCAUUUUUAGAUAUUUCCUGUGUUUUCUUUUAGAGUCACAAUACGUCAGGCUCAGCUAAAUGAAGAACUAAAUUAAAACUGUCACUUCAGCUCAUAAAUAACAGAUGUCUAAUGCAUUUAAUUAUUUAUAGUCUUGAAUCUUUCAAAAAUGAAAAUGACUACACACAUUUUUAAUGUAGUUCUUGGUAAUUUGCCACCUGACUGAUAAGAUUUGCCAAUAAUCCUGCUUGCAAACAUGAAAAAUAAAACCGAGA
rnacentral:lncRNA from 1 species